AGAAUAGAAGUUGUGGCUAUUUUGCAAACAGUCUGGUAGGCGGAGCAACGUGCUCAAACAUCAUGCCCUUCUACUGUUACUUAUUCCCAACACAACAGCAGGUCAUGAAAGUGAAGGUCAAGUCAAGUGAGAAUGUAAAUGAUCCUGCAAUAAUGGCAGCCAUCUUGGAGAAGAUCCAGCAGAAACUGGAGGGUGAUGGAACUAGGAACAUCACUGUGAAAUGGAGAGAGCAACCAGAUGGAGUAGUGUUUCACAAGAAGAAUAAAAAUGACCCUGCAAUGUGAAUAACAGUAAUCUUAUGAGUUAAAAAUCUGAAAUAGUAUAUAUUUUGUCAUUUCUAAUUACUUUUAAGUUGAGGACAAAGUGUGCGUGUAAUAUUUAAUCUUUCCUAAAUUGUAUUUUAACAAGCCAAGAAUUGGAGUAGGUCUCAGGACCAAAUAUCAACAUCUAAAAUUUAAAAGGAAUACAAAAUACUAGAUACAAAAACAACACAUUCUCUUAAGGCAUGAAUGUCCUCAUACGAGGAUAUGAUUUUUCUUCCCAGCAAUGUUAUGUGUAUAUCCUUGUGCGAUCGAUAUACGAGGACUGUUGUGUAUAAUUAUGUGACCAAUUUCUUUCCUGUUUAAGGACAUUAAUUACAUAGGAAUCGUGUGUAAAUAAGGGGAAACAAUGAGAAGAAAUUACAGUGUAAGCCACAAUACAGUCCGGUCCCACAAGGAUAGCAUUAAGACAAGAACCUAACCACAUUAUUACAAAAUGAGGUCUUUCCUUCAAUAAUAGGAAAAACAUAUUUUCCAUUGUUUUAACACUUUAUAUUAACACUAAUCUCUCUGCAUAUAAACACUAUAACAAAACCUCUUAACCUCGUGGCCAAUAGAAAGACAUUAAUAACUUGCUUUUCUUUGUUGUAAGAUUAGCUAGUUUCAUAUUGUUUAGCUAUUCUACUUUUUACAUUUAAUUUGGUUAGAUUGGUGUUUUGG